AAAUUUUCGUUGUCUCCGCUUGCCCCAAUCCCCCAUUUCUCUCAUGCACCAUAUACCCCCAGCGAAACCUAAGCCACAAGCCGCCCCUGCCCCCGGCCUCCGCCUUGCCGGUCGAUUUGCUUGCGCCGCCGUAUGCUUCAUCCUCGACCUGCCUGUGGCGCCGCGACCGCCCCAGACUCUGACCUUCCUAGCGCUGCCAUGGCGUCCGACCCUGACCAGCCUCGCGCCACCACCUCUCCAGACUACGACCUCCGGCCCAGAUCUGUCUCUCGUCGCCCCGGCCUCCGACGGGAGGUACUCUACAGCCCGAGGGGCCACCUCGCAACCUGCAGUUCGAGGAGGCGACCUGCCAUACGCUGCGAGGAGCCGCCCCACUGCCCCUCUUCGACCACCUGCGACGUCUCCCCUACCCCCUCUGUCCUACCGUGUUGCCAAAUCUGCCUACAGUAGGGUGGUUUAGGAACAUCUUAGGCUUGUACGGACAGGAAGGGAGCGCAUGCAGCAUGGUUCAUAGCACAGUUUUGACCAGUUCGUCAGUGUACAAAGCAACGACCUGGACCAGUUGUCUAAUCGACGGUUUCAUAUGUGAAUUCUGAUUUAUAUAAAAUUUUGUGAGUUGUCUCCAUUAUUGUCUGUAAAAUCAUGUUCUAAUAUGUGUCGUUUGCAGGACAAAAGCUGACGGAAAUAUGAUAAGAAAGUGAGGUCCUUGUGUAUGAUAAUGGCUUGCCAAUGUUGCAAAAAAUAAGAUCUCAGGUGAGAGCUCUUAUGGAACUGAAAAAGAAUACUGGAAUAGGAGGAAAUAUAAGGGCCACUGGCGAAUCAAAGAACGGCAUGAGUGAAGCUAAUGAAGGACGUAACUCAUAGGAGUUUUGCUUGUGUCAGUAAUUGAAUGGUAAGUUUUUACAGAAUGCUAAUUCUCAGAUGUUUAUGUCUCUUCCUUUUUACUUAUUUAGAACACCUUGUAUAUAGCAGUCUUAGCUCUGUACAAGCUACUAAACGAUAUAGAAAGUUGGAGUUCAAAUUUAUAAAAUCUGACCCUGGGAACCACAUUAGUACAACAUAUCUAUUCAAGCUUGAGGUUGUUUUAUUGGAACUGACCAUGAGACUGUUGAAGUUACUCUUGUGGACUGGCAAUGAGAAGAUAGUAGCAACUGCUUGGACAUGCCAAAUUCCUAAAAUUUUAACUCUAAUGUACAGAAACAUUUUACUGAUUUUUACACUGAAAAUUUGAGUGUUUGUUUACCGAAUAUUAUAUGUUGUGUUUUUUAACUUACACUCUGUUCCUGCAGCACAUGAAAGUCACUCUUAAAGAUGGUACAUGCAUCCUAGAAAAUAACUGUCUUGUUAGUCUUGGCAAAAUAUUGGUAUACUUACAGUACCAGUGCUGACAUCUAAAUUUAGUUGGCGAUGUGGAAAUGUGUUAGAUAAUUUAUUGUCAGGUUUUCUUAUCAAUCCUUGCAUUUUAUAUGUGUAUAGCAGCACCCUCAUUAUCAUGCAAAAUAGUAUCAUGUUCAGACUUGAUCAUGGCAGCUAGGAGAAAUGUAUGAUUUAGUACGCAAGAAAAUUCCUGUGAGAAAUUACUCCAAAGAAAAUGCUAGCUGCUAGCAUAUAUCUAUUUUGAUCACUAACUGAAAAAUCUGCAUAUCUCUGAAAAUGAAGUAAUCACCUUUCCUAACACUUAGAACUUGUGUGGGAUAUAUGACCAUAAAGUGCGGUUCCUAGUAGAUAUAAACUAAAUCUUGCUAUCUUUUAAAGAUCAGGCACAAAAUAAAUACUUGACCAUUAUUUUUCCGGGAAGCAUAUUUUAGUUCAGUGCCACAAAUCAGGAUUACACCCAGCUCUAUUUUAGAGAAACAUAGAUGUUGCAGCCUGUUGCAGCAUAUGUUUAGUUUCAGGAUUUUAACCAUAGUACAACAUAUGCAAAUCUCUACCGUAUACCACAUAAUGUUUCAUCGCAUGCAUGAACCGCAACACAAUCAAUGCCCUGUAAAUUGAAAUUUUUUACGAUUAAAUGAGUUUUUUAGGAUAAAAUGGAUUGUUUUCAUCUAAGUGCACCUCCUGAUACUACAUAUAUGAUUGCUGGUACAUGUAUAUAUUUAAUAGUGUGUAUAUGAUUGUUUGCUGAUUGAGUAACCUGGAAUGCAAAUAUCUAAAAUUACAGCAUUUACUCCUAAUGUUUGGUGCCAGAUUUUAGCUAUAGCAGACCGUAACAUAUACUGUUAAAUAACUCAUAGUAGACAUCUGGUAAUAUAUGUAUUACCCGAUCUAGCUCCUAGAUGCCUAACUAGAGUGCAUCUGUUAUCGAGCAAAACGAGAGGCAUGUGCAAGUGCACUUCAUACAUAUAUGACUGCUAGUACAUGUAUAUUUACAAGUGCAUAUCUGAUUAUUUGCUGGUUGAGGAACUUCAUAUGCCAAUAUCUAAAAUUACAAUAAAAUUAUUCCUGAUGCCUUAGAAGAGAUUUGAUUGCUUUAUCAAUGAGCGCAUACAUUUUUAUAUUAAGUCAUAUGAUAUGUUAGGUGCUAGCCUGACUUCGGCCGAUGUUCGUGCUGAUAAGGUUAUCUUUUGUAACCUGUUUUGCGGCACAUCUACUUUUUAGAUCUUUGGGACCAUGGCCACUCACAAUUCUUAUUUUCUAAGAUUGCUCAAGAGUUCUUUUGCAGGGCAAAUGGAAGAAAGUAGCAAGUCCACAAGUUGAUCUAAGAUGUUCCGGUGACUGCUUUUGUUCAUAACAUGGUUGACACAUUUUGUUUAUAUGGAAGUUAAUGUCAGCUUGGGGAUCGAAGACUUGGUCUCUUCCAUAAUUUUUUUGUGGUAGUGAUCAAACAUUUGGUCUCUUAGGAACUUGGCCAUCAUAUUUUGUAAGAGGCCAUGACCUGAAUGUUGACUUAUGUAUUUCCUUAAUGGAUGUAGCUAACUUGAGUGAAGAAAACUAACAAAUCUUAUAUAUGUUGAAUAAAUGCAUUGAUCAAUGGUAUCUUGUGAAGAAUAGAAGAGUGCAAAUGUUUGUAUAUGUAUUGGGUACUGAACAUGAAAUGAAUGCAUUGAUUAAUGAUA